CAGAAUACAUCACCUUAUAAUUUUGUUGCAAAUUGCACACGGCGAAAAUUCCGGCAACUCUUAAGUUUGACCGACGAUGACAUGGACAGUCACGUGAUUUUUUUUACACGUUGGCAAACCAUGUGAGCAAAACGACGUCGUUUUGAUAAAUUGAAGAAUAAAAAAAAUAAAAAAAAAUCCUUGCUUUUCCGGCGAGCCAUUCCACCACCACAAACCACCGCAACCACUGUUUUUCCUCACCUCCACCAUAACCACCACCACAAAAAUCAAAGAAAUCAAAAUAUGAGAAGAAAUCACAAGCAUCUGCCUCUCCAUCGGAAACUUCAUGCCAGAAAUUAAACCCGCCGCCCAGCCUUCCCCUUUCUCUAGAUCCACGGCGGUAACCCUACCCCCGCCUACAACUCCGACGCCGACGUAGCAGCAAACCGGCACCCACCUCCCAGUUCAGAUCCCAUUCCCAGUUCCCAGCGAAAUUUCCAUCAAAUAUUCCUCAAAAAAUCCGAUCAAGAGCCCCCAAAUCUAAAUCGGUGGCUGGAACCUGGUGAGGCGGUUGACGUUUUACAGAUGGAAAAGGACGGCGGCGGCGCGAAAUAGCAGCGCAGCGGCGACGUUUGGCCUCGAUGGUGGUCGGUGCGCGCGCGUCUUGUGGCGAGGAGGGCGGAGGCGAGCGGCGUUUUACAGAUGGAAAAGGACGGCGGCGGCGCGGAAAUAGCUGCGCAGCGGCGACGUCUGGCCUCGAUGGUGGUUCAGGCCCGCGCGACUUGUGGCGAGGAGAGCGGCGGUCGGCGACGAAUUGGAGUGGUGGUGGUGAACUGAGGCAGGCGGCUGGUGAGGGAGGCGCUGGUUUUGGAGUGAGGGAGGUGAAGAGGAAUUAGGGUUUUCAUGAAUUUUCCAUUUUUAUUUUUUAUUUUUAAUUAUACUCACUCAAAACGACGUCGUUUUGAAUGCCGGUGAGUCCACGUCUGAAAAUUCCGGUGCCACGUCAACACCGAUCAAGGUGGUGGUCAACGCAUGUGCAAUUUGCAAUAAAAUUAAAAGGUGGUGUAUUCUGGAGCUAAUUUUAAAGGUGAUGUGCAAUAUGCAAAU
rnacentral:lncRNA from 1 species